rnacentral:rRNA from 1 species
CCUACGGUGGGCAGCAGUGAGGAAUAUUGGUCAAUGGGCGCGAGCCUGAACCAGCCAAGUAGCGUGAAGGAUGACUGCCCUACGGGUUGUAAACUUCUUUUAUAAAGGAAUAAAGUGAGGCACGUGUGCCUUUUUGUAUGUACUUUAUGAAUAAGGAUCGGCUACCUCCGUGCCAGCAGCCGCGUUAAUCCGGAGGAUCCGAGCGUUAUCCGGAUUUAUUGGGUUUAAAGGGAGCCUAGAUGUGUUGUUAAGUCAUGUGUGAAAGUUUGCGGCUCAACCGUAAAAUUGCAAUUGAUACUGGCAGUCUUGAGUACAGGUGAGGUAGGCGGAAUUCGUGGUGUAGCGGUGAAAUGCUUAGAUAUCACGAAGAACUCCGAUUGCGAAGGCAGCUUACUAAACUGCCACUGACAUUGAUGCUCGAAAGUGUGGGUAUCAAACAGGAUUAGAUACCCGAGUAGUC